GGGGAUUUAGCUCAGUGGUAGAGCGCUUGCCUAGUGCAAGACCCUGGGUUCGGUCCCCAGCUCCG
rnacentral:tRNA from 1 species